UACGAAGGGGGCUAGCGUUGUUCGGAAUUACUGGGCGUAAAGAGUGUGUAGGCGGUGUUCCCAGUCUGUUGUGAAAUCUCCCGGCUUAACUGGGAGGGUGCAGCGGAAACUAGAAUGCUAGAGGGUGGGAGAGGUAAGCGGAAUUCCUGGUGUAGCGGUGAAAUGCGCAGAUAUCAGGAAGAACACCCGUGGCGAAGGCGGCUCUCUGGGACGGUACUGACGCUGAGACGCGAAAGCGUGGGAGCGAACAGG
rnacentral:rRNA from 1 species